AGAGCAGAAAAGGGUUCAUGAACCAGGUAGUGCUCAGGACCAAAAGCGAUGGUUCAGAAUGUGUGCAGGCUAUAUUUAUAAGCAAAGAAACGGAAUUGGCAUACAGAGAUAGCCUGACUGGCUGCAGUCUGGCGUCUGCCUUCUUUGGACAUGUUUUGGCAGCCUUCAGCCUAUGGUUGGCUGAGAUCUGACUACUUGUUACAAGAGUAGACUCUUACAUCAGGUUGCAGGGUGUUUACACAUUAAGUUAGGUUAUAAUUCACUAUGUACAGAGGCAGCUUUAGGCCAAACUUAACAAAGGUCACCUUUGGAACCAGCACUAAUUGUUGAGGGGGUCCCUGGGGUCCCUUUUUACCUAAUGAAGAUCUGUCUGAGUCUAAUGAAUAUAUUGUACAAUUUUUAAAGUCCCCAGUUGUGGGAGGUGAACUUGAAGAAUAAAGUUUCAUUAUGUUUA
rnacentral:lncRNA from 10 species